CAUUUCGCCCCCGUCCAUUGUUCCUAACGAACUGAAGAAACGGGAACGGCUCCCCGCGGAAAAAAUAAAAGCAGCGUGUGAGGGAAGGAAUUCCCCGCCACUUGAGCGCCCUCCUCGCCGAGGCACUCUGGACGUGCCCAGGGGCACCCUCGACGCUCCCAGCUGCCUCCGGAGCGGGCGAAGGGGAACGGAAAAAGAAAGAGGAAACCGCACGUUGCCAAGAGUAAAGCGAGGCGCGGGUCUCUCUCUGCCCCUCCAGCACAAGCGCGGAAGCGGAGGGGCCGGCAGCGGCAGGUAGGGAAGCGGGCGAGCGCGCCCGCCAGAGGCGAAUUGCCCCUCAGAGCGGCCCUUCGCGCGCCAGACGCACCCCCGGGGGGCACGUGACCGGGCGGCCCCGCGCGAGGCUUUCGCGCUCGCUCACUCACCCGCCCCAGCCAGCCAUGUCCGCGCGCCCGUCCGCGUCGCCAGCGCUUCGCUUCUGUCCCCUGCUUGGAUCUCCCUCCUCCGGGCAGGCGCCGACGUCUCACGAGAGCUCCUCGCCCAGCUCCCGCGAGAUCAGCCCGCUCACUCGCCCCUCUCCUUGAUUCCUCCUCCUCCUCCUCUGCCGUAGUGCGUAGAGCAUGAACUCCGGCUCUUCUUUCCGCCGUAGUUUGGGAAUAUACGCGCAUCCCAUCUUCCCGCCCACCUUAUUUUAAGCGGCAGAGACAUGCUGAAGAUUCAGAAGAUGGAGAGACAUUGCUGCGCCCCUGCAGGCAGCGGGUCUCUCCUAUCACCUGCCACCUGAUCUUUUCAACUGGAGAUGCAUGACAGGAAAAGUCCCUCCACAUCUUGGUACCCUAUGAGCACAACUGCUAUUUCCUUGUCCCAGGAAGCACUUCUUGGAUUUUCUUUUGAGUCCUUGGAUCUGUGAUGUCAGCAUGAGGCAGGAAGAAUGCUCCUUCCAGAGGAAAAAUGUGAAGUAGGUCAACACCAAGAACAAAGCCAACAGGGGCAUCUGGAUCUAGAAGGCAAAAGAGUCAAACUAAGGAGGAGGGACUCUAGGAUGACAAUGACCAGAGCCAAACUGGCUUAGCUUCUGCAAGAUAGCGGCCUCAUGCGCUAUCAGACCAAAAAGGGAUAGCCUGAACCCUUAUACCCUACCUUGAUCAUCGAGAUCAUCUCGAUCUCACCUGGUGAGGCUCAUCUGAUGUCAAGACAAAAUCGAACCUUCAGUGUCAUCAGCCCAAUCUAACCGAAUGCUCUACUAACACGAGAUUAGGCAAGUAUCUUCUGUAUUGAUUUUUAAAUGUUUGCUGAAAAACCCAGGCUUAUGCAGCCAAUUACACACACACAAAAAUCUUUCUGCAAUAAUUUAGCAGAUGACUUGUGUUUUCAGUUUUUAAUGUGAUUUUGGGUUGUAUAGAUAGUUGUUGUAAAC